rnacentral:rRNA from 1 species
UACGUAGGGUGCGAGCGUUAAUCGGAAUUACUGGGCGUAAAGCGUGCGCAGGCGGUUUUGUAAGCCAGAUGUGAAAUCCCCGGGCUUAACCUGGGAAUGGCAUUUGGGACUGCAAGGCUUGAGUGCGGCAGAGGAGACUGGAAUUCCUGGUGUAGCAGUGAAAUGCGUAGAUAUCAGGAGGAACACCGAUGGCGAAGGCAGGUCUCUGGGCUGACACUGACGCUCAUGCACGAAAGCGUAG